UCUUCCAGAGGGUUCUCCAGUGGAAAAGAAAGAACAAACCCACCAACGCAAGACUUAGAAGUCCUGCUGUUCCUCAGGUAAGAAACAGAGAGCAAUCUCAAAGCUGCUUUGUUCAUAAUUAAGAAAAGACAAGAAAUCUUUCCCUUCCUUCAUGAGCCCUGUCCAAAGCAAUGAUUUCCACACUCAGGCAUUGGGCUGCCUGGUUUGCCCAAUGCUGGGAGCAGGGAGCAUAGAUACAACUUCAGCACAUGGUGAGAGGUUUCUUACCCAAGGUGCUGUGAAUUGGCAACUUCAAGGCCUUUCCUGGCCAUAUGGCAAAGCAGGGAUGAGCACAACCCAAAAUGCAUGGAGACUCACUCUUCAGGAAGGAAAAGGGAGACUAGAUGCCCAGUGAUAUGAGUGUGACAGUAACUGAGGAGUGCUUCCUUCAGGAAAUAAAACUACCAGCCAAGCACAAAUGGAUUGCACAGUAACACGUGAGAUUGAUUCCAUACUGGUUUAUUUAGGCUAUUCCUUUUUCCUUUCCCCUCUGUCUCCAGACUAUGGACUUCCUAUAGCCUGUCUGUUCCCAGGAAGUUUGUGGUGUGUUUCCAGAGAGCUUCUGGAGCUCUGCUAGGACAGCCUCACACAGUUACAUUCAAAAAGCUCUGGGGAGGAAGAAAAGGGUUCAGGAGGAUCCUUGCUACCUUUAUGCAGAUAGCAACAGGAGUAACAGCAUUUAGGAGCCCUGUGUUUUGAGCAACACCCUUGCCUUCCCUCCCUCUCAUUGCUACCAGCGGAUGCCAGAGAGACAGCCAAAGCAAACAUAACACUUGGGAAACGGUCUGUAUAUCCAAAACAAAAGAGGUUUUCUUUCAUCAGCUGUUUCCUGUUGUCAACGAGUGGAAAGCUGUUUUUGUGGAGCAACAUACUCUUGGUCAUGAAAACGAUGAGCCCCAAUCUGAUUCUUUAGGAUGUGUUAUACUCUGAUUUCCAUCAAAGUAGCCCAAGAAGACCCAGGGAUUUCUUUGGGAAAGGGAUCCUCACAAACCCCAUGUGCACUGUGCUCAGGAGGGAAGGGAUUUACAGAUGGUACCUCCAAUGGGAGCAGGCAGGAAGGACUUGGCAAUUCCUCACUACCUCCUUGCAAUGGCAUUGACUUGACCAGCAAAAUGAACAGGAGUCCCCAUGUCCUCACCACCAUGUUUUUAAACAAAAGCGGGGACCGAAUGAAACGGAGCUGUGUUGAUUCCACCCGGUUCAAUAUAUCUUCACUUUCUAAUGAUCAAGUCACCUUGAGGGAAGCAUGAGCUCUGCUGCAGCUGAUGGAUUCCAUUGUGAUCCCCAUUGAAGAAAGGCAGCCCUCAUGUCUCCUCCCUGCUGGACACCCACACCUAACAGCAAGCAGGAUCUUCAUGCACCUCAUUGCCUUGCUUCUGCUUAGCAUCCU
rnacentral:lncRNA from 14 species